CCUACGGGAGGCAGCAGUGGGGAAUAUUGGACAAUGGGCGGAAGCCUGAUCCAGCAACGCCGCGUGAGGGAUGACGGCCUUCGGGUUGUAAACCUCUUUCAGCAUCGGCGAAGGGCCUGGUUUUUGCUGGGUUUGACGGUAGGUGCAGAAGAAGGACCGGCCAACUACGUGCCAGCAGCCGCGGUAAUACGUAGGGUCCGAGCGUUGUCCGGAAUUAUUGGGCGUAAAGGGCUCGUAGGCGGUUUGUUGCGUCGGGAGUGAAAACGCACAGCUUAACUGUGUGCUUGCUUUCGAUACGGGCAGACUUGAGGCAUUCAGGGGAGAACGGAAUUCCUGGUGUAGCGGUGAAAUGCGCAGAUAUCAGGAGGAACACCGGUGGCGAAGGCGGUUCUCUGGGAAUGUUCUGACGCUGAGGAGCGAAAGUGUGGGGAGCGAACAGG
rnacentral:rRNA from 1 species